GCUUGUCUCAAAGAUUAAGCCAUGCAUGUCUCAGUACAAGCCAAAUUAAGGUGAAACCGCGAAAGGCUCAUUAAAUCAGUUAUGGUUCCUUAGAUCGUACUCACAAUUACUUGGAUAACUGUGGUAAUUCUAGAGCUAAUACAUGCAAACAGAGCUCCGACCGGAGACGGGAGGAGUGCUUUUAUUAGAUCAAAACCAAUCGGUGGCGGGCUCGUUAUCGUACAACUUGGUGACUCUGAAUAACUUUACGCUGAUCGCACGGUCAUCGCACCGGCGACGCAUCUUUCAAAUGUCUGCCUUAUCAACUGUCGAUGGUAGGUUCUGCGCCUACCAUGGUCGUAACGGGUAACGGGGAAUCAGGGUUCGAUUCCGGAGAGGGAGCCUGAGAAACGGCUACCACAUCCAAGGAAGGCAGCAGGCGCGCAAAUUACCCACUCCCGGCACGGGGAGGUAGUGACGAAAAAUAACGAUACGGGACUCAUCCGAGGCCCCGUAAUCGGAAUGAGUACACUCUAAACCCUUUAACGAGGAUCAAUUGGAGGGCAAGUCUGGUGCCAGCAGCCGCGGUA
rnacentral:rRNA from 1 species